rnacentral:rRNA from 1 species
CCACUGAUUUAUAUUAAAGGGCUGCAGUAUUUUGACUGUACAAAGGUAGCAUAAUCAUUAGUCUUUUAAUUGAAGACUUGUAUGAAGGAUUAGAUGAAAUAUAAACUGUCUCUUAUUUAAUUAUAGAAUUUAAUUUUUUAGUUAAAAAGCUAAAAUAAUUUUAAAAGACGAGAAGACCCUAUAGAGUUUUAUAUUUAUUUAUAAAUUAUAUUUAUAUAAAAUUUUAAUAUAAUUUAUAAAUAAAUAUUUUGUUGGGGUGAUAAAAAAAUUAAUAAAACUUUUUUUUAAAAAUAAACAAAGAUAAAUGAAUAAAUGAUCCAUAAGUAAUGAUUAUAAGAAAAAAUUACCUUAGGGAUAACAGCGUAAUAUUUUUUUUUAGUACAAAUAAAAAAAAAAGUUUGCGACCUCGAUGUUGGAUUAAGAUAAAAGUUAAAUGCAAAAGUUUAAAUUUUUGAUCUGUUC